UUCCUCGUGGCCCAAUGGUCACGGCGUCUGGCUACGAUUCAGUGGUUACUUCUGAAACCAGAAGAUUCCAGGUUCGACUCCUGGCGGGGAAG
rfam:Cyberlindnera jadinii NRRL Y-1542 unplaced genomic scaffold CYBJAscaffold_6, whole genome shotgun sequence.